AAGUUCAGGCCAAGCCCGAGCUUUUCCCAUGAUCCCAUAUCCAAACCCAUCUACUGUGCGUUUUUGAAAUUUCAGCUAAUGACUAAACCGAGUCGUUACGGGCUGAGCUUAAAGCCCGUGGGCCUGAACAAGCAUUUUAUGGGCUUUUUUGCCAUUUCUAUCUAACAAAGACCACACCGUCAUUCUUGGCAUGAUCUCUCAUGUAGUCAACCAAGCUGCAUAGAUUAAAAAAUGUUCAAAUCAACAAAAAUAUAACCUUUAUAAACGAAACAAUUAAAUCUUAUAAUAUUUAUAAAGAAAACAACUAAAACUUACCUUUUCACCCUUGAGUCUUUUACGUUAACUAGUGUCCUAUUAAAAUAUGUAGUUUUGGCAUCCAUAAUAUCCAACCGUUUGUUAUACAAAUGAGACUUCUUAAGUGGGUUUUGUGAUUCGGAAGACUUGGAUAAAAAUCUUAUAACCAAUACUAUGAACAAAAAUAUAAAAAUUUAAUGUUAGGAUUAAAAUGAUUUUUCAUAAAUAUGUUAUAAAAGCAUAAAGCAAAUGUAUAAAUUUACCUUCACCUAUAGUAAGUUCUGAUUUAUUUUCAUACUGUCUUCUAUAUAUGGGCCAACUAAGGGAUAAUUGAAUAUUAGAAGUAAUUUGUUAAAAAAAACAAUCAUAAACUAAUAUAAUUUUAUUUUAGACAAAUAAAUAAAUAAAGUGUACUACACGGUUAAAGUGUACAUGGUAUACAUCAAGUUCUUAUUAAAGUAUACUAUACGGUAUACGUCAAGUCUGUGAAUGAUAAUCAAAUUAAAAGUUAACGGUUUGGAAGACAUUGCUAUUACUUUGGGUUAUACAAUAUUUUAAUAGAGGUUGCAACUAGUAACCCACUAAACUCUUCAUAAUACUUAUUUCAGUAAAAAUUACAUAAUAAUAAAAAGUGAACAUCAAUUAUAAUAUGCUCAACAUGAACAUCAAUUAAGAGUUUUGAAAUAUAUUUUCUAUCUUUUCUUUAUUUUCCACCUAAAUCCCAUAUUCUGCUAAAGACUAAAAUCUAAACAAUCAUCAGAAAAAAAAAACAUUUCAUAAUCAUUCAGGUUUAUCACCAUUGCUUCUGUCCUAAAGAUCUUAGUGGACAAUUGAUCUUAUGAAUGAGUAAUUUGUUUUGAGUGUAUUUAACUUUGCAACCUAUAAUUUCUGUUAGUUUCUUUUUAAUUAGUUAUGUUUAUAAUAUCAAUAUUGAUUGAUUAAAUUCAAAGGAGAGUUUAAGCAGUCCGACAUCUUCAAUUAUAAUGCAUGAUUCUUUUUUUCAAUAAACUAAUAUUGUUUUGCUGCAACCCCAAAGAGCAUUAAUCAUGCUUUUGCAUAUUCAUCAUUUCUCAAACUUGAUCCAGUAUGAAUACAAGGAUAAUCCAAGCGGGGAAAGUGAAAUACUAUCUACUACUUUAAGAAUAACAACGAUCCAACGAAAAUGGUUAGCAUCCAUAGCUAUAUCACCCAAAGUUAGAACUGAGUCUUCUAAAGCUUUACACUCAACCUUAUGAUCGCUCACAAUUUCUUCCAUUUUAUCAUUUCUCAAUUCUAACCCUCCAACCCCACCAUCAGCAGUAGUACCUGAAAGAAAAAUCAUGUAUAAAACUUGUAUCAAAAUGAUAAGUGUUAGUAAAUAAAAUAUGCAUGAAUGAGAAAAAAAAUUUCAUCUUUUGCUAAAGACUAAAAUCUAAACAAUCAUCAGAAAAAAAAUAUUUCAUUAAACAUUCAAAUUUAUCACCAUUGCUUUCGUCCUAAAAAUCUUAACUUUGCAACCUCUAAUUUCUGUUAGUUUCUUUUUAGAUUAGUUAAGGUUAGAAUAUCAAUAUUGAUUGAUUAAAGUCAAAGGAGAGUUUAAGCAGUCCGACGUCUUCAAUUAUAAUGCAUGAUUCCUUUUUUCAAUGAACCCAUAUUGUUUUGUUGCAACCCCAAAGAGCAUUAAUCACGCUUUUGCAUAUUCAUCACUUCUCAAACUUGAUCCAGUAUAUAUGCAAGGAUAAUCCAUGCGGGAAAAGUGAAAUACCACCACAACACAAAUUGGAUCUACUACUUUAAGAAUAGCAUCGAUUCCACGAAAAUAUUUAGCAUCCAUAACUAUAUCACCCAAAGUUAGAACUGAGUCUUCCAAAACUUUACGCUCAACCUUAUGAUCGCUCACAAUUUCUUUCAUUUUAACAUUUCUCAAUUCCAACCCUCUAACCCCACCAUCAGCAGUAGUACCUGAAAGAAAAAUCAUGUAUAAAACUUGUAUCAAAAUGAUAAGUGUUAGUAAAUAAAAUAUGCAUGAAUGAGGUUAUUAAUUUGUUAAUGGCUAAUAUCAACUAGAAUGUAAAUUCUAACAAUACCUACAUUAAUAGACACAAUAAUUGCUAUCAUAUCUUUCAUCAGACUUUCAAGGAGUUUAUUGAAAAUGAAGGCAGUCUAUCAUCCAACAAUAGAGAUGGUAAUUUAAGGGUAUGGGCUGGAUUUUUUCAAACUCAGGCCCAACCCAUGUUAUUGACUGAAAUCCUAAGCCCUCAAAAAGCCCGUCUAAUCGAACUUGGGUCUAAAACCCACGGGCCUGAGUCGAGCUGGGGCCGGGCUUGAACUUAAAUAAAAAUUUAAAAUGAAUUUUUAAUAGAGUUUAAAAGAGAAAAAAAGACCACUUAAAUAAAUUAUGAUUAAUCGAUUAUACAAUAAAUAAUAGACUAAUAAUCAAAUACACAAAAUAUAAAAUUAAAAUUUAUAAAAUUUAAAAUAUAAAGCCUAUCUUAUAUAAAAUAAAAAAAUAUAUUUAUAAAAUAUAAAGUUCAGGCGUUACGGGCUGAGCUUAAAGCCUGUGGGCUUGAACAAGCUUUUUAUGAGUUUUUUUGCCAUUUCUAUCUAACAAAAACCACACCGUCAUUUCUUGGCAUGAUCUCUCAUGUAGUCAACCAAGCUGCAUAGAUUAAAAAAUGUUCAAACCAACAAAAAUAUAACAUUUAUAAACAAAACAAUUAAAUCUUAUAACAUUUGUAAAAAAAAAAAACAACUAAAACUUACCUUUUCACCCUUGAGUCUUUUACGUUAACUAGUGUCCUAUUAAAAUAUGUAGUUUUGGCAUCCACAAUAUCCGACCAUUUGUUAUACAAAUGAGACUUCUUAAAUGGGUUUUGUGAUUCGGAAGACUUGGAUAAAAAUCUUAUGACCAUUACUAUGAACACAAAUAUAAAAAAUUAAUGUUAGGAUUAAAAUGAUUUUUCAUAAAUAUGUUAUAAAUUCAUAAAGCAAA
rnacentral:lncRNA from 1 species